rnacentral:rRNA from 1 species
CCUACGGGUGGCAGCAGUGGGGAAUAUUGCACAAUGGGGGAAACCCUGAUGCAGCGACGCCGCGUGAGGGAAGAAGUAUUUCGGUAUGUACACUUCUAUCAGCAGGGAAGAAAAUGACGGUACCUAACUACGAAGCCCCGGCGAACUACUUGCCAGCAGACGCGGUAAUACGUAGGGGGCAAGCGUUAUACGGAUUUACUGGGUGUAACGGGAGCGUAGGCGGUUUAGCAAGUAAGAAGUGAAAGCCCGGGGCUCAACUCCGGGAAUGCUUUUGAAACUGUUGAACUAGAUUGCAGGAGAGGUAAGCGGAAUUCCUAGUGUAGCGGUGAAAUGCGUAGAUAGUAGGAGGAACACCAGUGGCGAAGGCGGCUGACUGGACGGUAAAUGACGCUGAGGCUCGAAAGCGUGGGGAGCAAACAGGAUUAGAUACCCCUGUAGUC